rnacentral:lncRNA from 1 species
UUCAUUACACUGAAACAAUCACCUUAUUCACGAGUAAAUAAUGCAUUCAACAAAAAGCAUACUAGAAUGUUUGAUAUAGGUAUUUUUUAAAAAUACCUCCCUUUGAUUUCCUCAGUAUGUCAGGUCAUAUUUUUGGCUGCAAAUCUUGUAUCCCUAGCGAUCCCUCCUCUUCUUAAUUCCUACGUACUAUUGCUUUAGAUUGAAGGUGUAAACUGACCCCAACAGAGGAUACAAAAGCUUCAACUCUGCUUGUUAGUUUUUGAAACUCGGUCAUUUUACACUUCUUAAAACAACCAGUCGCAUUGCAAAAAUAGGAAUUAACAAUUUAGAAAAGGUAGAUAACUAACAUGUCAUGCAUUUAGAGAUAUGUCAGAUUCAAAACCAACCAGGAAGAUAUUAAAGCUAUUGCAAAUGCAAUGAGCAUUUCAAAAUAUCCUCAAAUUCAACAACCAUGAUCCAAAAUGACAUGAACAUGGUAAAGCAUCGUUUUACAGUAGUGACUGACUUAUUAUGUUUUAAUCAGAGGGUGUAAGAGUUGUGUCACAAGUAAAUUAACGAUCAAACAGCAGGAAAAUAUAGAAAAAAGAAGGUUCUAACCAAGGAUAUCAGAAAUGCCUGCAAUAAGCUAGGUGGUUCUCUACUGACAUGGUGAUUAUUCAGUACAUAUUCCCGAAACUGUUCCACCAUGACUUUGAC